UACGAACCGAGCGAACGUUGUUCGGAAUCACUGGGCUUAAAGGGCGCGUAGGCGGGCUGCCGCGUCCGGGGUGAAAUCCCACGGCUCAACCGUGGAACGGCCCCGGGUACGGGCGGCCUCGAGGAAGGUAGGGGCGUGCGGAACUGUGGGUGGAGCGGUGAAAUGCGUUGAUAUCCACAGGAACUCCGGUGGCGAAGGCGGCACGCUGGACCUUUUCUGACGCUGAGGCGCGAAAGCCAGGGGAGCGAACGGG
rnacentral:rRNA from 1 species